rnacentral:rRNA from 1 species
UACGAAGGGGGCAAGCGUUGUUCGGAAUGACUGGGCGUAAAGGGCGCGUAGGCGGUUCGUUGCGUCAGAUGUGAAAGCCCCGGGCUCAACCUGGGAACUGCAUUUGAUACGGGCGAGCUUGAAUCCAAGAGAGGGUGGUGGAAUUCCCAGUGUAGAGGUGAAAUUCGUAGAUAUUGGGAAGAACACCAGUGGCGAAGGCGGCCACCUGGCUUGGUAUUGACGCUGAGGCGCGAAAAGCGUGGGGGAGCAAACAGG